rnacentral:rRNA from 1 species
AACGCUGGCGGCGUGCUUAACACAUGCAAGUCGAACGGAAAGGCCCUGCUUUUGUGGGGUGCUCGAGUGGCGAACGGGUGAGUAACACGUGAGUACCUGCCCUUGACUUUGGGAUAACUUCAGGAAACUGGGGCUAAUACCGGAUAGGAGCUCCUGCUGCAUGGUGGGGGUUGGAAAGUUUCGGCGGUUGGGGAUGGACUCGCGGCUUAUCAGCUUGUUGGUGGGGUAGUGGCUUACCAAGGCUUUGACGGGUAGCCGGCCUGAGAGGGUGACCGGCCACAUUGGGACUGAGAUACGGCCCAGACUCCUACGGGAGGCAGCAGUGGGGAAUAUUGCACAAUGGGCGGAAGCCUGAUGCAGCAACGCCGCGUGCGGGAUGACGGCCUUCGGGUUGUAAACCGCUUUCGCCUGUGACGAAGCGUGAGUGACGGUAAUGGGUAAAGAAGCACCGGCUAACUACGUGCCAGCAGCCGCGGUGAUACGUAGGGUGCGAGCGUUGUCCGGAUUUAUUGGGCGUAAAGGGCUCGUAGGUGGUUGAUCGCGUCGGAAGUGUAAUCUUGGGGCUUAACCCUGAGCGUGCUUUCGAUACGGGUUGACUUGAGGAAGGUAGGGGAGAAUGGAAUUCCUGGUGGAGCGGUGGAAUGCGCAGAUAUCAGGAGGAACACCAGUGGCGAAGGCGGUUCUCUGGGUCUUUCCUGACGCUGAGGAGCGAAAGCGUGGGGAGCGAACAGGCUUAGAUACCCUGGUAGUCCACGCUGUAAACGGUGGGUACUAGGUGUGGGGUCCAUUCCACGGGUUCCGUGCCGUAGCUAACGCUUUAAGUACCCCGCCUGGGGAGUACGGCCGCAAGGCUAAAACUCAAAGGAAUUGACGGGGCCCCGCACAAGCGGCGGAGCAUGCGGAUUAAUUCGAUGCAACGCGUAGAACCUUACCUGGGUUUGACAUGGAUCGGGAGUGCUCAGAGAUGGGUGUGCCUCUUUUGGGGUCGGUUCACAGGUGGUGCAUGGCUGUCGUCAGCUCGUGUCGUGAGAUGUUGGGUUAAGUCCCGCAACGAGCGCAACCCUUGUUCACUGUUGCCAGCACGUUAUGGUGGGGACUCAGUGGAGACCGCCGGGGUCAACUCGGAGGAAGGUGGGGAUGACGUCAAGUCAUCAUGCCCCUUAUGUCCAGGGCUUCACGCAUGCUACAAUGGCUGGUACAGAGAGUGGCGAGCCUGUGAGGGUGAGCGAAUCUCGGAAAGCCGGUCUCAGUUCGGAUUGGGGUCUGCAACUCGACCUCAUGAAGUCGGAGUCGCUAGUAAUCGCAGAUCAGCAACGCUGCGGUGAAUACGUUCCCGGGGCUUGUACACACCGCCCGUCAAGUCAUGAAAGUUGGUAACACCCGAAGCCGGUGGCCUAACCGUUGUGGGGGAGCCGUCGAAGGUGGGACUGGUGAUUAGGACUAAGUCGUAACAAGGU